rnacentral:rRNA from 1 species
GAUGAACGCUGGCGGCAGGCCUAACACAUGCAAGUCGAACGAGUGGCGGACGGGUGAGUAAUGUCUGGGAAACUGCCCGAUGGCGGGGGAUAACUACUGGAAACGGUAACUAAUACCGCAUACCAUCGGAUGUGCCCAAAUUGGAUUAGCUAGUAGGUGGGGUAACGGCUCAAUUAGGCGUCGAUCCCUAGCUGGUCUGAGAGGAUGACCAGCCAAACUGUAACCGGGAAACGGUCAAGACUCCGACGGGAGGCAGCAGGGGGGAAUAUUGCAAAAUUGGCGAAAGCCUGAUGCAGCCAUGCCGCGUGUAUGAAGAAGGACUUAGGGUUUAAAAGUACUUUCAGCGGGGAGGCGUUACCCGCAGAAGAAGCAACGGCUAACUCCGUGCCAGCAGCCGCGGGAAUUC